AUUAAACGCUGGCGGCAUGCCUUACACAUGCAAGUCGAACGGCAGCACGGGGGCAACCCUGGUGGCGAGUGGCGGACGGGUGAGUAAAGCAUCGGAACGUAUCCUGGAGUGGGGGAUAACGUAGCGAAAGUUACGCUAAUACCGCAUAUUCUGUGAGCAGGAAAGCAGGGGAUCGCAAGACCUUGCGCUCUGGGAGCGGCCGAUGUCGGAUUAGCUAGUUGGUGGGUAAAGGCCUACCAAGGCGACGAUCCGUAGCGGGUCUGAGAGGAUGAUCCGCCACACUGGGACUGAGACACGGCCCAGACUCCUACGGGAGGCAGCAGUGGGGAAUUUUGGACAAUGGGCGGAAGCCUGAUCCAGCCAUGCCGCGUGAGUGAAGAAGGCC
rnacentral:rRNA from 1 species